GUUCGUUGUUUAACCCAUAUUUCUCUGUUAAGAGACCUUUAAAAGAAACUGUAAACAUGUUGUCUUCGCCAUAGCAUAGAUUUGCGAAAUCUGUCUUCUUUUCUUAUGUUGAUUUUUUUUCUUUGCAGGAACCGCAGUAUUUCCGGCGUCGUGUUGUAACUUCGUUGCUACAGUUAUUUUUUUCAAAAUUAAAGAAAACUGCAAUAACACCAGUAUCAAAAUUUUAAAUUGUGAUUCAAGAGAAACAAUAACUUUAUCCAAUUUUUUUUCCAAGUGUGUGUAUCAGUGUAUCAGCACAUGAAUUUUAUAAAUCAGUUCUAUUUAUACACAGUGUUUACAGUUUUACGGGCAAAAAGGUCAGAUCGAUUGCGUUUUUAAUUGUAGUGUGAACGCAGUGGUUCAUAUUAGACCGAUAGAGAUCGAUAUGAUUAAAGAUAAUGUGAACGCUAACUGGUUUUAUUUAGAUCGAUUAAAAUUAGAUCGAUAAAAAAAAAUGCUAGUGUGAACAGGGUCUAAGAUAGC
rnacentral:lncRNA from 1 species